rnacentral:rRNA from 1 species
AUUGAACGCUGGCGGCAGGCCUAACACAUGCAAGUCGAGCGUGCGGCGGACGGGUGAGUAAUGUCUGGGAAACUGCCUGAUGGAGGGGGAUACCUACUGGAAACGGUAGCUAAUACCGCAUACCAUCAGAUGUGCCCAGAUGGGAUUAGCUAGUAGGUGGGGUAACGGCUCACCUAGUCGACGAUCCCUAGCUGGUCUGAGAGGGUGACCAGCCACACUGGAACGGAGACACGGUCUAGACUCCUACGGGAGCCAGCAUUGGGGAAUAGGGCACGAUGGGCGCAAGCCUGAUGCAGCCAUGCCGCGUGGGGGAAGAAGGCAUUCUGGUUGUAAAGCACUUUCAGCGGGGAGGCGUUACCCGCAGAAGUAGCACCGGCUAACUCCGUGCCAGCAGCCGCGGUAAUAC